rnacentral:rRNA from 1 species
GAUGAACGCUGGCGGCGUGCUUAACACAUGCAAGUCGAACGGAAAGACGCUGCACUUGUGUGUUGCUCGAUUGGCGAACGGGUGAGUAACACGUGAGUAACCUGCCCUUGAAUGUGGGAUAACAUCUGGAAACACGGGCUAUUACCGCGUAUAAUCUUCUGCUGCACAGUGUGGGUUGGAAAAUUUCGGCGUUUGGGGCUCGACUCGCGGCUUCUCAGCUUGUUUGUGGGGUAGUUGCUUUCCAAGGCUUUGACGGGUAGCCGGCCUGAGAGGGUGAACGGGCACCAUGCGCCUGCGGUAGGGAGCAGACGCCUACGGGAGGCAGCAGUGGGGAAUAUUGCACAAUGGGCGGAAGUGUGAUACAGAGACGCCGCGUGCGUAAUGACGGCUUACGGGUUGUAAACCGAUUUCGAAUGUGACGAAGCCUGAGUGACGGUAAUGGGUAAAGAAGCACCGGCUAACUACGUG